rnacentral:tRNA from 1 species
GUUCUUGUAGCUUACAACAAAGCAUGACACUGAAGAUGUUAAGAUGGGCGUCUCACAAACCCCCAAGAACA